AGAGUUUGACCCUGGCUCAGGAUGAACGCUGGCGGCGUGCUUAACACAUGCAAGUCGAGCGAAGCGCUUAUGAUGAUCCUUCGGGUGAUUCGUUUGUGACUGAGCGGCGGACGGGUGAGUAACGCGUGAGUAACCUGCCUCAUACAGGGGAAUAACAGUUAGAAAUGACUGCUAAUGCCGCAUAAGCGCACAGGGCCGCAUGGCCCGGUGUGAAAAACUCCGGUGGUAUGAGAUGGACUCGCGUCUGAUUAGCUAGUUGGCAGGGUAACGGCCUACCAAGGCGACGAUCAGUAGCCGGCCUGAGAGGGUGAACGGCCACAUUGGGACUGAGACACGGCCCAAACUCCUACGGGAGGCAGCAGUGGGGAAUAUUGCACAAUGGGGGAAACCCUGAUGCAGCGACGCCGCGUGAGUGAAGAAGUAUUUCGGUAUGUAAAGCUCUAUCAGCAGGGAAGAAAAUGACGGUACCUGACUAAGAAGCCCCGGCUAACUAUGUGCCAGCAGCCGCGGUAAUACGUAGGGGGCAAGCGUUAUCCGGAUUUACUGGGUGUAAAGGGAGCGUAGACGGCUUUGCAAGUCUGACGUGAAACUCCGGGGCUCAACUCCGGAACUGCGUUGGAAACUGUAAGGCUUGAGUGCCGGAGAGGUAAGCGGAAUUCCUAGUGUAGCGGUGAAAUGCGUAGAUAUUAGGAGGAACACCAGUGGCGAAGGCGGCUUACUGGACGGCAACUGACGUUGAGGCUCGAAAGCGUGGGGAGCAAACAGGAUUAGAUACCCUGGUAGUCCACGCGGUAAACGAUGAUUACUAGGUGUGGGGGGACUGACCCCUUCCGUGCCGCAGCAAACGCAAUAAGUAAUCCACCUGGGGAGUACGACCGCAAGGUUGAAACUCAAAGGAAUUGACGGGGGCCCGCACAAGCAGUGGAGUAUGUGGAUUAAUUCGAAGCAACGCGAAGAACCUUACCAGGUCUUGACAUCGUAUGCAUAGCUCAGAGAUGAGUGAAAUCUCUUCGGAGACAUAUAGACAGGUGGUGCAUGGUUGUCGUCAGCUCGUGUCGUGAGAUGUUGGGUUAAGUCCCGCAACGAGCGCAACCCUUACUGUUAGUUGCUACGCAAGAGCACUCUAGCAGGACUGCCGUUGACAAAACGGAGGAAGGUGGGGAUGACGUCAAAUCAUCAUGCCCCUUAUGACCUGGGCCUCACACGUACUACAAUGGCUGUCAACAGAGGGAAGCAAAGCCGCGAGGUGGAGCGAACCCCUAAAAGCAGUCUUAGUUCGGAUUGUAGGCUGCAACCCGCCUACAUGAAGUCGGAAUUGCUAGUAAUCGCAGAUCAGCAUGCUGCGGUGAAUACGUUCCCGGGCCUUGUACACACCGCCCGUCACGCCAUGGGAGUCGGUAACACCCGAAGCCUGUAGUCUAACCGCAAGGAGGACGCAGUCGAAGGUGGGAUUGAUGACUGGGGUGAAGUCGUAACAAGGUA
rnacentral:rRNA from 1 species